CCUACGGGUGGCAGCAGUGGGGGAUAUUGCACAAUGGGGGAAACCCUGAUGCAGCGACGCCGCGUGGGUGAAGAAGUAUUUCGGUAUGUAAAGCCCUAUCAGCAGGGAAGAAGAAAUGACGGUACCUGUUUAGAAAGCUCCGGCUAAUUACGUGCCAGCAGCCGCGGUAAUACGUAGGGAGCAAGCGUUGUCCGGAAUUACUGGGCGUAAAGGUCGGGUAGGUGGGCGCUUAAGUCAGGUGUGAAAACUUCGGGCUCAACCUGGAGACUGCACUUGAAACUGGGUGUCUUGAGGGCAGGAGAGGAAAGUGGAAUUCCUAGUGUAGCGGUGAAAUGCGUAGAUAUUAGGAGGAACACCAGUGGCGAAGGCGACUUUCUGGACUGUACCUGACGCUGAGGCGCGAAAGCGUGGGUAGCGAACAGGAUUAGAUACCCCGGUAGUC
rnacentral:rRNA from 1 species